CUGUGAGUGCGGGUUAAGAGGACGGUCUCGACUUGGUUUUGAUAGAGGUUUACUGUGGUUUUCAUGCGAGGAUAGAAGGGACUGGUCCGAAUCUUCGAUCUGUAAAGAUUUGAUAUAGGAUUGGUGUUUUGUUGUUGGAUCAUAGCGUUACCAUCGAUCGGCCCAUAAAAGUGAGAGUGAAAGAUCAAUCUCUUUCGAAUCAGAUUGGGCUUUGUGGAAAACAGAAGAAGGCUUGCUGUUGUUUAGUUUAUUCUUCUGAGGUGAGAGGGUUGGACUCUAUUCGAUCUUUAGCAUCAGAGCUUUUUCCAAUCUUCAAUCUAUUGAUAAAAGGUUUAAAACAGAACACCAGCUAAAGUGUUGAAGCUCCAGAGUUUAAACUCAAGGGUGAGGCAUAACUAAAGGUCGCCACAUGAAUCCAAUUGAAUCCGGUAUUUUGAUCCAUUUCAAUUCUAUCACUUAUCAAGAACAAUCCACAGAGGGAUAGACUGUCUGCUUUCCUUCGCACAAAGAUCAUAUAUUAUCAAGAAUAUGAAUUAUACUGUUCACAGUAUGUUUUCUAUGUUUUAUUUGUUACUAAACUUUACACUUUCAGUAUUCUGCUUUCUACACAGAUGAUAUAAAUUUCAAUGUUCUACAUUUGCUUAGAUUUUUAAAUUACAAUAUUCAAUUCCUGAAUCAUAUCUUAUCAAAAACCUCAUGAGUGUCCAUCUAUUAAGUUCGAUACUAUGAUCAGCCUUAAGUUCGUGUCAAAAGUUGAGGUCAAUCUGGAACAACAAAUAGACAGGCUACUGUCAAUCAUAUAGAUUAUUCACCUUCGCAGAUAUCAAACUGUAUUUCUGCACUCUUCGAUCUUCAGCCAAACUGUUGGCUUCAAAGUUGGCUGAGAAGGGAAAUCCAAGCUCUUAGCAGAAACGUGUAAGCCAUUAUGAUGGAAUUCAAUUCUAUUAAAAUACCUGAAUGACAUCAACAAGUAGUGCAGCACCUAAUUAUCAGAACCUUAUCAUAUUAUUUUCAGCCUGCUUUCAAAACCUCAUCACAUCAACAAGUUUGGGAUUAUACAAUGAUCAAGAAAGAUCACAAUCCUUUUCCGCUGUUUUCCAGAGUUUUGGCUCGACUUUGUUGCAAGUAAUCAACUGAAAUGCAAUUAUUUGAAUCUGUCUUUUACAAUAGCAAAGGCGGAAAACUUAUUCAGCUGAUUUCACUCUGAUACUCAAUUCUAAGUCACCUAUGAUGACCUGGAAAUCGAAGUAAGAGCCUGGCACAAGCAGAAAUUCCGGAAGAAAUUCAGAAAGUUUGCAAGGAAGUUCAAGCAAAGUUCAAUUGCCAGUCCUGUUUACCUGCACUGAAAAUUGUAUUCUGUAUACGGGCAUCUGCUCUUUCAAUUUCAGUUUCAUAUCAACUAUAUUCACUUUCAAUUUCAAUUAGCACUCCUAUUCAUUACACAUAACAACUUCUCAUGUAUACAAUUACUUUCCUAAACAAUUCAUUAACAAUCCUAACUCCCGCAGCAAAGCGCGGGCAACCAUUCCUAGUAUAUAGUAUUUGUUUAUCUUACA